rnacentral:rRNA from 1 species
AUUGAACGCUGGCGGCAUGCCUUACACAUGCAAGUCGAACGGCAGCGCGGACUUCGGUCCGGCGGCGAGUGGCGAACGGGUGAGUAAUACAUCGGAACGUACCCUGUUGUGGGGGAUAACUAGUCGAAAGAUUAGCUAAUACCGCAUACGACCUGAGGGUGAAAGUGGGGGACCGCAAGGGCUCACGCAGCAGGAGCGGCCGAUGUCUGAUUAGCUAGUUGGUGGGGUAAAGGCCCACCAAGGCGACGAUCAGUAGCUGGUCUGAGAGGACGAUCAGCCACACUGGGACUGAGACACGGCCCAGACUCCUACGGGAGGCAGCAGUGGGGAAUUUUGGACAAUGGGGGCAACCCUGAUCCAGCAAUGCCGCGUGUGUGAAGAAGGCCUUCGGGUUGUAAAGCACUUUUGUCCGGAAAGAAAUCGCGCUGGUUAAUACCUGGCGUGGAUGACGGUACCGGAAGAAUAAGCACCGGCUAACUACGUGCCAGCAGCCGCCGUAA